CUAAUCGUGGCACCGUGACACAUUCUAACGGCAGCUUUGGGCUCUCCGGUGGGAUAUUUGCGACAUGUCCUUCAUCGGGCUCGUAGCCGCUGACGGCGCUAACCUCAAAGCGAAGCGUUGUCACGGGGGUUCGAGUCUUCGGAGGUUGAGCGUGGGAUCGCUCUGUCGUCCUCGCUGGUGGGAUUAGCAGCAAAUCCGCGGCUCCUGUAACACUCUCGGCGGGGAGCGCAGAACCUGCCCACGACCGUUUGACGAUCAGCGAAAAGUGAGUAAGAAAUUGGAAGUGUGUUGGUCGACGGACACGAUUGAGUUUGCUGUCCAAUUAAGAUGAGAGGAACUGAAAUGGCGAGCGAGCAGACGAGAGCGCUCUGUGAAGAGGCCCGCGAGGACUUUCCGAAGCCGGACGCUCGCUCGCCGCCGCCGCCGCUUUACUUUGACGUCUGGCCAACGGAGCGACGGGCAGCUGAUUCCUCUCGCCAGCAUACCACUGUCCCUGAAGGCAACACCAGCCUGACUUUGGCUUACUGACCAAAAGCGAGGAAAAACCUGAUUUGUCACUCUGAGCGAAGCGGUGGUUGAGGAAGAGGAGCUGGCCAUGAGGAAGAAGACGACUCAGCAAAACGUCCACGCGGCUGCUCUUCAGCAACACCUGGGAAAUAAAUACAACAAUUAUUGCAUUCAAACAAAUAACAAGAGAAAUAAAUUGCAUGCACGAGAAAAAAUAAGAGAAUGGCUGUGUGUGGCUCCUUCGUGAUCGACGCGACAGGCCAAAAUGAACGACCUCGUCUUUUUCUUCUACCUCGCUGCCCUGCCCCAGCAUGUGCAGGUGCUCCAGGCAGUGCCCGGCCAGGUUCCGGAGCGUUCCCUCGGCCAGCGGCGGGUUCUCGUGGGGCUCGCACACCAUGACGAAGGCCAACGAGUUGACGGCCAGCCAGAGCGCGCUGACCUCCCGCCAGUAGGGGUCCCCGUCGCGCAGUCUCA